rnacentral:pre_miRNA from 1 species
CUUUUGUUCUGCUCCUCCCCUCUAAUCCUUUGUCCCUGGGUGAGAAUGCUAUCUGUAUGCAAUGCACCUGGGCAAGGAUUUGGAGAGGGCGAGCCUGCUCUGCGUGGA